GUAUGUAUUCUAUGUAUUAUAUUUCUGUAUAUGUCGGACAUAAAUCUUUGCUGUGUUUAGGAACUGGAGGAGAAACAUCGUGAGGCUCAGCUGUCAGCACAGCAUCUGGAAUUGCAGCUGAAACAGAAAGAGCAGUUCUAUGAGGAAAAAAUCAAAGUGCUAGAUGCUCAGAUGAAAAAAGAUCUUGUUGAUAAGGAAGUGCUUGAGAAUAUGCUGCGAAGACAUGAACAAGAAGCACGUGAGAAAUGCAAAAUUCUGGCUGAUCAGAAGGCGAUGAUCAAUGCCAUGGAUUCGAAGAUUAGGUCAUUGGAACAGAGAAUAGUGGAAUUGUCUGAGGCUAAUAAGCUGGCAGCAAAUAGCAGUCUUUUUACACAGAGAAACAUGUAAGUAAAGGAACUGCUACACCACUCAUGUUACAAGCCCCUGUGCAAGCUCAGUAAGACCUAUUCUCCAAACGUAUUCUUUCUCUAACUGCAGUUUGCUCAAUAUUUUGUUUCCCCUAUCAUAGCUGUGAAGAUGUAUUGGUUUGUAUUGUUGCCUUGUCUUUGUUUGGAUUGUUUCAUGAGGCUUUUGCUGUGUCACUUAAUAAUAAUAACAACAAUUAUUAUGAUUAAUUUAUUAUUUUUGCUGCAUGCAGUUUUUCAAUAUAAACAUUUUGUGGAAAAAAUUCAGAUAUUUUUGAAUGUCAAACAUUUCCUGAGAAGCAGUAAUUCCAGUUCUGGAGAUAUAUAUAAAAAAUAGUAUUCCUUUUGCUUCUGGUGUUUAGGACUUGAUCACAUCUGCUUCUUGUGGUCAUUGCUCAUUGAAACUCAAAGCCUUAUAAUUAUUUCACGCUCCAAUAUGAGAAGAAAAUAUUAAAUGCCCUUUCUUCACAAAGCUUCCAUCUUGCUCCCAGCAUCUAAAAAAAGUGGAUACUGAUUUAGGAAUUUUCCUUCAUGUUUUUAAACGUUGAUUAAAAUAUGAGGUAUUGAAGUUCUCUGCCUGUUUUGUUUUUUUAAAAAAAGAGGGACCUAGUCCUAAAAUUAAAGUGGUUCUUUAAUCCUGAUUGCUUACUUUUGAUCCUGAAAGUAUUUGGGUACAGUAUCACCCACAAUGAUAUGGCAGCGUGUAAUAUGGUGUGACUCACUACUGGGGUGCCUCCUGCUGGUCGCUCUGGGAAUUAGCUUCUUGGUGCUGGAGUGCCCCCUUCUGGUUGGUGUCUCCCCAUGUCUCUGCACUCUGGGGUUCUCCCCCUCUGGGAACCCCCAACCCCCUAUGCCCUCCUUGCCUCAGUGGCCCACUGCCAGUCUUCAU